CCCUAUUAUUCUUGUGAAUUAUUAAUUUUCUCUAGAAAUUAAAUGAUAUAAUCAUUAAACCUAUGCAGGAGUGGCGGUUCUUGGCCCAAUCAGAGGCUUAUGUUUUAAAUCGAAAUUACACGAACAUCUUACCACAAAUUAUAUUGUCCUUGCACACCGCCGUCGGAAGGGAAAGAGUUAAAUCUGAACCUUUAUCAGCACUCAUAUGUGGAAUACGUGGCUGAACUAAGACAGGUCAAGGUGCAGGUUAUAUUUAUGGGGAAAAUGUAAGUCAUUAUUUGAGUUAUAUAAGUUUAUGAGAUGAAAUUUCCCAUAAUUGUUAUAGAAUUUGACAGUAAAUGGAGUUUAAAAUACUGCAUUGAACAGGGUCUCAAGAGUGUACACAUCGCCC
rnacentral:rRNA from 1 species